rnacentral:ncRNA from 2 species
GGCGCGCGCGUCUGCCAUGAUGUCUCCCGGUUGCAUGACGAGGAAUACCGGUGAGAAUCCGGAGCGGUCCCGCCACUGUGAGCUUCCCUUCGAAGCGAGCCAGGACGUCGUCAUCACCUGCCACGU